rnacentral:rRNA from 1 species
UACGUAGGGGGCAAGCGUUGUCCGGAAUCAUUGGGCGUAAAGAGCGUGUAGGUGGCUCGGUAAGUCCGCUGUGAAAGUCCAGGGCUCAACCCUGGAAAGCCGGUGGAAACUGUCGAGCUCGAGUCCGGAAGAGGCGAGUGGAAUUCCUGGUGUAGCGGUGAAAUGCGCAGAUAUCAGGAGGAACACCAAUGGCGAAGGCAGCUCGCUGGGACGGUAACUGACACUGAGACGCGAAAGCGUGGGGAGCAAACAGG